CGUAGGGGUGGUAGCUGUACUUGAACAUGUUUCGAAUUUUUAACGGUUCUAAUGGUUGGUUGCUUUAUUGCUAUAUAUAUAUAUAUAUAUAUAUAUAUAUAUAUAUAUAUAUAUAUAGCAAUAAAUAAAUCUUAAUUAACACUUUAUUAUACGUCUUUGGGCUUUUACACGGGAAGUCCAAGCUGGAUUAGUUUGUCUUUUAUGGAUGAUUGUGGAUCCACCACGUGGUUCCAGACGCUGCAAAGCUACGGAAUGAACAUGAUCUAGUGCUAAUGGCGCUAGCCAUCCUACGCCGCCAUGAUGGCUAGCUAAUAAGAAGUCCUUUAUGACCACGGCUCUUCACUCUAAACAUCACGGAGCGCAAUGUCAAACAUCCUGGUGCUUCAAUCCAUCGCAGAACCCCUGGUAUCAGCAAGGAUUAAAAUGACCACCUGAGCACCAUAUCAAAGUAUUUACAGAUCUGAUUUGAUGUUGGACUGGGGUGUCAUGAUUCUCAAACUGUCUACUGCAGAUAAUGGAUCUGGGGUGGCAGAGAUGAUGUCAAGUUUUGAAACCAAUGCAGAAUUAAAGAUUGUCCAGUGAUUCUAUUUGAAUGUCUAUGUAGUGAUCAAAACCUGUGGGGUUUUUUUUUUUUGUUUUUUUGCUGAAAUAAAACUUUGAAGUGGAUGCAUUGUUUGUUCCUUGUCUUUGCAUUAAGUGGAGUUUGAGUACAAAAUUAUUAAAUGAGUUACAUUGUGGGGAAUAUGGAGUUUUAUAAAUGUACUUUAAAUUUUGUGGUAAAAUUAAGGGUCCUUGAUCCUGACCAGGGCUUUGUACAAGUUGCUUGAAUUUGGCCUUUAGAAGUUUAUGUAUUGGAAAACUUCUUAUAUGUAAAUUAAGCCAUAUUAAAAGUGCUUGACAAAUCAAAUAUGAAAUCAUUUUUGUUUAUACAGUUUGUAUUAGUGUUCUAUCAGAUCUUUCCACUCAAUACGACGACCUGCUGCAUUAACAGCUCAUUGUUCAGUGAGUGGCUGAGAGGAGCAGCACAUUCAGUUGCUUCUAGCUUUCUGUGAUAAUUUUGAUUGUAAAUAUAGCUGGAAAUUGGCACAUCUUUAGCUUGUGAGUUAGACGCAGUUAUAAAUCAGGAUGUUAGCAGAGCAGCAGCUUGGGAGUGACUCCUGGUUAGAUGUACCUUGUUAUGUUCAUAUGCGUUCUAUUUUCUGACAAAAAUGACUUGGGGAUUUAAAAUGCAGUAUGCAAGCACAGAAUAGGAGAGAAGGUAAAGGGCUGACUCUAGGCAGCAAAUGAAAAUACGAGGGAUGAUGUAAUAUGCUAAUUAGUGCAUGAAAUAAUUUAGUGAGUUUCCACUGAAAGUUAUUGGCAACAAUGCUCCUGUCACUCAUGUGGUGUAUACUGACAAAAUGCAAAUUUAGUCCAGCAUGGCUGGAAAAGGCAACAUAUAAAAAUUGUUUGUGUUGUAUUAUUUCUUUUGGAAUUUAAAAAGAAGAAUAAAAGACUGUUUAAAUGCCAUCUCUUGUGGGGGAUGCAGUGGCUUAAUAGUUAUGUUUGCCUCAAACCUUCAGGGUCGGGGGGCUCAAUGCCUGCUGCCACCCUGUGUGUAUGGACCUUGCCCUUUCUCCAUGUGCUUUGGGGGUUUCCUCCCCCAGUCCAAAGACAUGCAUUGUAAACUGAUUGGUAUCUCUAAAUUGUCCAUAGUGUGUGUGUGUGAUUGUGCCCAGUGAUGGGUUGGGUCCCUGUGCAGGGUGUCCCUGGCCUCAUGCCCUGUGAGUCCACUGUGAUAGGCUCCAGGCUCCCCCUGACCCUGUGUAGGAUAAGUGGUACAGAAAAUGGAUGGACACCUCUUGUAUAGUCCUCGAAAACAAAGAAAAAUAGUGCUUUACGAAGUCCUGGAAUUUCAUUAUGAAGAAUCUGUACAAACCCUGCUGAUAGUACUCCUCUCAGACAUUUUCGACACUAUGUAAUUGGUACAUUCUCCAUGCCAAAAUACAGUUUAUUGUAACUGACAUACACCCAGAUAAUUAUUGUACAACUUAAGAAGGGACACUCAAAUCAAUUUGACAUAUUUUCCACUUGGACCAAAUAUUUUCUGUAAACGUUGACCCCAUACUGUCCUUCUCAGCUGCCAAUGAUUUAGAUAUGCUUUCUUGCUCCAGAGUCAAAAGCAAUGAUUUAGGGAUAUCAGAAGUAUUUAUUUUAACUUAUAAAAGUGUACAUGUCAAUGGGUAAAUUAACAAUACAUAAAUCUAGAUUCAGUUCCUUCUAAUUUGGAUAAAAAUCUGCCAUGACAAGAGGUGAGCUCAGAAAUCGCACAAGAACUAACUGCUCAUAUAAUGUAAUUUCACUUCAAACUAAAAUUUGUAAUUAGGCUUUGUCUGCUAUUUUACAAAAACAAACAGUACCCUCUGAAAGAACUGGAACAGCAAGGCAGAUUCUAUUGUUUUCGCUAUACAUUGAAGACAUUCAGGUUUGAGAUCAAAAGAUGAGUACGAGACAACAGAUCAGAAUUUCAGCAUUCAUUACCUCAUAUUUAAACCUACAUGUGUUAAACAACUUAGAACAUGGCAGCUUUAGUUUCAGCCCACCAAAUUCUUCAAGUAAUCAAAUUUGUAAAAGAAAAAAAAAAAUAUAUAGGUGUUUCGUACUGCCCAGGUUUGUCCUGUUAAAUUGGUUGUUUAAAGAAUUAAUAGCUCUGAUAUCUACAUGGUUUGAGCCCUGGGUUUCACCUGUGAAGACUGG
ensembl:lncRNA